rnacentral:rRNA from 1 species
GGGGCACCUGAUAUCAUGCGCGUGUGUGAAGAAGCCUUCGGGUUGUAAAGCACUUUUGUCAGGAACGAAACGGUGGGGGCUAAUACCUCCUGCUAAUGACGGUACCUGAAGAAUAAGCACCGGCUAACUACGUGCCAGCAGCCGCGGUAAUACGUAGGGUGCGAGCGUUAAUCGGAAUUACUGGGCGUAAAGCGUGCGCAGGCGGUUGUGCAAGACAGAUGUGAAAUCCUCGGGCUUAACCUGGGAAUGGCAUUUGUGACUGCACGGCUAGAGUGUGUCAGAGGGGGGUAGAAUUCCACGUGUAGCAGUGAAAUGCGUAGAUAUGUGGAGGAAUACCGAUGGCGAAGGCAGCCCCCUGGGAUAACACUGACGCUCAGGCACGAAAGCGUGGGGAGCAAACAGGAUUAGAUACCCUGGUAGUCCACGCCCUAAACGAUGUCAACUAGUUGUCGGGUCUUAAUUGACUUGGUAACGCAGCUAACGCGUGAAGUUGACCGCCUGGGGAGUACGGUCGCAAGAUUAAAACUCAAAGGAAUUGACGGGGACCCGCACAAGCGGUGGAUGAUGUGGAUUAAUUCGAUGCAACGCGAAAAAACUUUACUAACCUUGACAUGUCAGGAACCCCGGUGAG